CCUUCCUUCCUUCCUUCCUUCCUUCCUUCCUUCCUUCCUUUCUUCUUUAUGAAUGCUAAGGCUAUUGGUAGCUACUCAUCAGUAAGCGUAUAUGUUAUCAUCGAGAUCAAAAGCCCAUCUCAAAAGAAACAGGUGAUUUCAGUGUCCUGCUUAUGGGCUUCUGAGUAACAGAAUACCUGAUAAGGUGGUCUUUGGUUUCAUUGAGAACCCUUCAUUAUGUGUUUCUGUUCUCAUACCAAUCAUUUGUAUUUACCUACUCUGCAUUACUCAGAUAUUAAUCAAAUGUGAUUGCAUUGCAAGUGGUUCCAUCCAAUUGCAAACUGGAAAGGAGAAACCUAUGUAAUGUUACAUGGGUCAAUCAGGUUUCUGCCUGAUUCUGUCACGCCUAUAGACAGUAUUCUGUCUAUAGGCGUGUUAUAAAGCAUCAUAAAAGAAUUUGAGAAAUUAUAAUUCAAGAUUUUGAAAUAAAGGUCUCCGCUUAACACUUUCCAAAGUGUUUUCAGCAUCCGUAAACAUUAAUGCCCUUUCUUUUAAAAAUCUUUUCAUUUAUUAGUUAUCUCAUUCCAAUCUCACAGUCUGAAUAAGAUACAUACAGUAUAGCGUAGUUUUAAACUUCUGCUUUGGUGAUGGUACAAUGUUCGAAAAUGGAAAACAUUUCUUCCUAAUAUUGAAAUAUUGCAUCACCAAAGUAUUUGGCAACUGAAGUUAUUAUAGACGUUAAUUAUUUGCUGGCUCUCGGGAAUUAAUCUAACACUCUUCCUUAUACAGUCUGCUGGGAACCUCUCUGCAAAGGGCUCCGACACCUCAUUGCAGCCUCACCCAGUCUGGAGAGUCUGGGGUGAUCUCAUGGGUACUCACUCCAGGCACCUUCUGCCCCUCUCCCAAGCCACGAAGAGAGCAGCAAGGCUAAAAGCAUGAAAAAUGCCUUCUCGUUUCUGCUAAGAAAACACCAGAGUGGUCUAAGUCUGGGAACUGUUAGUCAAUCUGCUGUUGUAAAAGUUUGGAUUCAGUUUUAACAGAGUUCACCUGAAACGAAGCUGGAGUCUUGAGGAACAAUAGCUGGGAAAUUAAUUGGGCAAGGUUUUGAGACCGUCCAAAAUGAAGUGAAACAAACAAAACGACACCCUUGGCUUACUUACUGCUCCUAGAAGUCUGCAUGUGGUUCUUGCCUGAGACCUGGAAAACUGAGGAUACAAUAUUGGGCAGAAACUACUGACUGUUUGGAAUUCCCAAUACCCUCCCUUCCUCAGACAACUAAACCUGCCUAAUGGAUCCCACACCACGGCCACUGGGUAAGGAGUCUCACUCGCCCCACUGCCAGCCCUUCCUCUUCCAACCAGGAGGGAUCCCUCUGCAAUGCUGCAGAAGCGGCUGCUUUCAUGGUACUCACUCCUUGCCGCCAGGGAGAUAGCAGCAAGGAGAGUGAAAACAGGAGAACAGAGGAAAAUGGCGUUACUUUUCUGAUAAUAAAAAGAUAAAGAAAAGCACUGGGGCAGUUUACUGUAAGUGCAACAAUUGCUGAUCUUCUGUUAUAGCCUGUUAUAUAUUUGAUCUAGAUCAUUUAAAAUGCUGCUCUUGGAGUUUAAUGGGAUUUGAUUCAUGGCACUGCCUGACAUUUGCUGGCUUUUAAAUCUGUUUAAUUUUGUUGCAGUAGUUUGCUAUUAUAUUUAACCACUACAGAACUAGAACACAGAUAGUUUAAAGAAGCAACAUUUAACUUUUAUAUAGGGCUUAUCUGUACUACCCAGCUGCCCCAUCACCAGAACAGGCUGGAAAUCAGUUUUACAAGUCUGAAACUGACAACAUUAAUCCCCCACUCAGCAAGCAAAGUGGCCUCUGGGCACAAUUUCUCUGCUCCACUUCUGUUGUGCUCCCUUGAAUGGUCCUGUCUGUUUGGGUUAGUGCAUUUCAGUUUCUACGGGCUAACCCCAGUUACUUCACAGAGGCAGAAACACCCCAACAAUGUAUACCAUGGGAACCAUGAAAGAAAAAUAGUAAUUUAAAAAAAUCUGCCUGAUUUCUAAACUCCUAUUUGCAAAGCAAGUAUUAAAACCGUUACACUAUUUUAACAUUCAUGGUAAAUGUAGCUCUGAAAGAGAAAAGAGACUAAUAAGCCAGUUAGAAAAUAUUUUGUUUCACUUUAAAGCUGGUGGUUGUGCUCAAGGUGACAUAAAAAGCGCUCCUUCUAAUUUUCUCCCACAACAACAAUCCUGUGAGGUAGGCUGAAUGGUGAGAGAGAAUGACUGCUCCCAAAUUAUCCAAUAAGCUUCCACUGCUAUGGCUGGACCAGAAUCUGGGGUCUCCCUGGCCGUAGUCCAUCACUUCAGCCACUGUAACAUGUAGGGCUAGUCACACUUUCAUUUUAUUUUAAUUAGUGCAAUGUUUGAAUAAUGGUUGUAAAAGAAAGUUUUUAGGCUUUUAAAAUGCCUUUUCUCUGCUAACAAUGGCCUUGUGCUUUUGUAAGCACACUUGCACAGAAGGUGCCAUUACAUCAAAGCGAGAAAGACACAUAAACAGUAAGACUUAGAAUGAGAAAGUAUCCAUGUAAUACUGAUGAGGAAUAUACCAUUUUAAUGCACAUGUGUAACAGAAUGCAGGAAUGUAUAAAAAGUUUCUAAACUCUUUGCUGGGGCGUAUACUCUGCCAGGAGGUUGAAGCCCGUUCAGUUGGCUGUCAAUAAACUUUUGCCGAGAAAUCAAUCUUGCUUAGAGUUGUUCCUUGAGAGACAUCUGACCUGCAAAUAUUUCACCUAACAAUUGAUUUUUUUUUU